AUGGGUACGAAUCGAUUUAUACAAAUGAAAAAUAUGCAGACUCAUAUCUGGUCAUGUAGGUAUGGAUAGACUCACAGGCUAUGUAAUUUCAACCAUUUUUUUAAAUCAUCUUAUUUUCAUUCUCCAACAUCUACUGCAACCCAAAUAUCCAAACAGAGUGCUUCAGUGCAUAGAAUAGUACAAAACAAAGUCCCUUCCCUUGCUGUCACUCGUUGUCUUGUUAUUGCCAACACAAAAACCAAAUCAAGGCACAAGCCUUGGCAAAGAAAAACACAGUGCAAGGAACUGCUACCUACUCCCUUAGGCACAUCCUAUUGCUCGCAAACCGAAUAGAGUGCAAGGAACUGCUACCCAAAUACCCAAACAGGGUGUAAAGAACUUCCUUCGCUUGCUUUCAUUCGUUGUCUCGCCAGCACAAAAACCAAAUCAAGGCACACCGUACCUCUCCGACAGUGAAAAAGGGAGUGGCAGCGGCAUUACAUGGAUAUGGUAUUUUAAAUGUGUCCUCUGGUGGGCAUGCCAAUUCAGACAUGACAAAGGGAACAAACAUACAUUCCUUGUGGCUUUUACUCAUCUUCCAUCUCUGAAUCAACUAUGAAUCAAGCGGUGCAAUUUAAUUUGAGUUUUAAAAGGCCCAAUUUCAUUUGUAGUUUCAUCUAUUUGAUAUUAGUUUCCAACAAUUGUGUUCUUGUUAUUGAUAUUUGACUCUUUUGAUUAUGCAUGUUUGCGCAUUGUUUGAAAGUUUGGCA